rnacentral:rRNA from 1 species
GCGACGGGCGAUAUGUACAUAUCGAUAUAAAAUAUCAAAAAAACUAAUUAUUUUUCUUUUACUCCCUAAUCCAACCUUCAUAUUUCAUUAGACAUUUCAACUAACUUUACAGUUUCAUAUUACAAUAUAAAAGUAACUCAUCUAAACCUAUAAAAAUCUACAUUUUGACUUGAAUUUUUUAUUUAAAAAUCAACCUUAUUUAUUAAAAUAAUAAAUAAUAAAUUAAACAGCAAUACAUAAAAAAAAUUAUAGAUAAAAUUUAAUGAGUAAUAUCAAAUUAAAUAGACAAGUUCCUCAGAAUUUAACCAAAUACCGCCAAUACUUCUAAAAUUCAUACAUGAAAAUCAAAUAAAAUCUUGAUAAUAUUUUUCAUUAAAAUAAUAGGGUAUCUAA